rnacentral:rRNA from 1 species
UACGGGGGGAGCAAGCGUUGUUCGGAUUUACUGGGCGUAAAGGGCGCGUAGGCGGCGUGACAAGUCACUUGUGAAAUCUCCGGGCUUAACUCGGAGCGGUCAAGUGAUACUGUCGUGCUAGAGUGCGGAAGGGGCUACUGGAAUUCUCGGUGUAGCGGUGAAAUGCGUAGAUAUCGAGAGGAACACCUGCGGCGAAGGCGGGUAGCUGGGCCGACACUGACGCUGAUGCGCGAAAGCCAGGGGAGCGAACAGG